AAACUACAUAUUACCAAGGUUUCUCCUAUCAUCGGAAACAUAUUCGAGUACAAAAGUAGUUCCCAUGAUUAAUUUUUCUCGACACUCCUCAUCGAUACUAUCAACCAAGUUGUUGAAAUUAUUCAUCUGUAAUAAGUAUUUUGUUAUAAGCUGCAAAUAAGUGGUUUAUCCAAACAGACCCUAAAUUAGGAAUAACUUAUACAUAAGUACUUGUGUGAUAACUAGACUUACGAACAUUCCUUGAAAUAUAACCACAAAUCAUCAUAACAAGAGAAAACAUUAUAAGAUGAGGUCUUAUAUACAAAAUUGAAUUGCAAUAAACAUUCCUAUCUUAUAUAAAAUUCAUUAUGCAGAGAGAAAUUUCAAUUUACCUUUUAUAACCUAUGCGAAGAGAGCAGUAAAUCAACCUGAAACAAUGCGACGAACCGUACAGAGCCUAAAUUAGGAAUAACUUAUACAUAAACACUUGUGUGAUAACUACAUUACAAACAUUCCUUGAAAUAUAACCACAAAUCAUCAUAAGAAGAGAAAAUGUACUAAAAUGAGGUAAACUCUUAGAUACAAAAUUGAAUUGCAAUAAUCAUUCCUAUCUUAUAUAAAA